GGGGGUUGUGCGGGGGGGUGGGAUGCGGGGGAAAGAGGAAUGAGUCAGCACCACGGCCGGAAUGGGGCUUAAGCUGACCACCUGACGGGGGUGAGUGACCGGUCGAGGGUUGCAUCACAUGAUGCAGAGAGACUGUGAAAGACUCAGUGUGUGAUGGAGUACUCGGGUUAGAGAAACGGAGUGAAGGAGAAAGAAAUAGAGAGAGAGAGAGAGAGAGAGAGAGAGGGAGAGACAAGCAGACAGGAGCACCGUGUGUCGGAAUAAAGGCAGUACUGUGUCGAGGACCCUUCAGAGUACACAGGAUUGAAGAAGAAGUCAGAGGCACGUCUCUCUCUGUCACCCUGCAUUGCCCCACUCCCAACGUGUCAACAUGUUCCUCCUCUGAACCUUGGGUUUUCUGAGAAAGUUGGCAGAGAGCAUUUGGAGGUGAUCGGAGAGAGAGGGAGUGGGACCAAAGGGGACGGGGUCCUGUCACACAUCCUGUCUGGCCAUGAAUCAGGAGCGACUUUGUUCGAUGAGGCACGUGAAGAGUUUCCCCGCUAUGAUCUACUCCUUCCCUUUUGCUAGGACCCUGAGGAGCUCUCCGCCCCUGGGAGUGCUGAAUACCGGAGGCUGCUUCACCGGCUACAGCAGUGGAGACUCGCAAAAGGGGGCGUCACUAU